CCGGGCGUUCGGUCUUUUCGGUUUGUUCGGUCCGGUCUUUUCGGUCUUCUAAUAAUUCGGUCUUCCAUAAUUGAGGACCGAAAUAAUUUCGGUCUUUUCGGUUCUUAACUAUUCGGUCUUCGGUCCCGACCAAACAGACCAAAUUAAUUAGUACAACUCAGAUUCAUGAUACUUCCAGUACAAUUCUAUGUCUAUAUUUUACAGGAAAUAACAAGAUUCAUAUCUGACACGAAGUAAGAAGAUUCAUGAUUUAUGUUCCAGCAACAAGAUUCAUGUAUGCAUAUCAUUUAUAUUUGACAGAAAGUAAGAAGUUAAAAAGCAACAACAUUUACAUUUGACAAAAAGUGAGAAGACAACAAGCAACACCAUUUAUAUUUGACAGAAAGUAAUAAGAUCACAAGCAACAACAGCCCAUGGAAUAUUGGAAUCGACAAGCAGCAAACAGCAGACAACCAUCACUUAGUAGUUGAUAACAUAGUACUUGACAUCAAACAAAUCAAUUUCGGCACCACCAUGGACCUUGUGCUUUCCCUUCACCUUGUCCCCAAAUUCUUCAAUUGUCUCUGCAACAAGUCAAGUAUUCAGUAAAAUUUCAUAAUCUUAGUGUUGGUAACAUCUUCUGCUAGUUCAUGGAAAAGUUGGUUGAUUUCUAGCAUGCGAGGAGAGUGCUGGAGUGGAGUGUGUUUGGUUGAUGAAAAAUGGAGAGUUCUGGAGUGGAGUGUGUUUGGUUGAUGACAAAUGCAAUCAGUACCUAGUACAGUUUUGAAGAUUACUACAAGAUGAGGAACAAACAAUCAAACAAAUUACUAUGUGUGCAUCAUGAUGUUCAGAUUCAGAUUUGGCUAUAUAUCUACAAAAGAGAAAAAAGAUACUCGCUAUUAGAGCAGAUAGCAACAAUACAAUUUGACAAUGAUAAAAAUCAACCAACUUUUUGAACUGGUUGGGGCGCCAGUCUCAACUGGUUGGGGCCUUGGCUCGAGGUGUUGAUCUUCAUCGGUCAGGGGCGCGCCGCGCGCCUCGAUGCGGCGGUCGUCACCGGCGGCGGACGGCCGUGUCGUGGGCAGUGGAGCGACUGACGGAGGGUCGAGGACGGCGGCAUGGGGCGCCGGUCUCCACUGGUUGGGGUCGGGGCUCGGGGCGCCGAUCUUCGUCGGCAUGGGCACGCCGCACGCCUCGAUGCGGCGGCCAUCACCGGCUCACAUCUCAUGGGCAUGGGGCGUCGGGUGGGCGACGGGCGGCGGCUAGGGUUCCUAGUGGGAGAGGAUAAGAGAAAUGGGAGUGAAUUGGCUGCCGGAUGCGUUCCUGUGAACCGUGAUGUGAGGAGGAGGACGCGUACUCGUG
rnacentral:lncRNA from 1 species